rnacentral:lncRNA from 1 species
UAAAUCUAAUUAUUAUUAUUAGGAAAAAUUUUAAAUACCCCUUGUGGUUUCGCACUUUUUCACUUCAAUACCAUGUGAUUUAAAAUGUAUCAAGUUAGUAUCUUGCGGUUUCGCACUUUCUCACUUUAGUACCAUGUGGUUUCAAGUGUAUCAAAUUAGCAUCUUGUGGUUUCACACUUUCUCGUUUUAGCACCGUGUGGUUUAAUAUUUUGUUAAAUUAUAUACCCCGAAAUGAAUAAUAAUAAAAAAAUUUUGAAACCACAAGGUGCUAACUUAAUACAAAAAUAAAACCACAGGAUACUAAUUUGAUACACUUGAAACUAUAGGGUACUAAAGUGAGAAAGUGCGAAAUCACAGAGUACUAACUUGAUACACUUUAAACCAUUGGGUACUAAAGUGAGAAAAUGCAAAACCACAGGCGUAUUUGAAGUAUCCCCUUAUUAUAAAUAUGAAAAUUUUUUAUAUAUUAAAUCAGAAUUCUUUAUUCAUGGAAUGUAGGACGAUUUGAGUGUUAUAUCCAAAUUUUGAGAAAAAUAUUUGUUUUGCAAUUUUUUUAGAAAAAAAUAUAAUUAGUACAGAAUAGAUAGGAUUUUUUAGUGCAAUAGUUUUUUUCUAAAUUUUUAUUUUAAAAAUAGAUCUGUUUAAUUUUUAUUUGUAAAUAUAGUACUAUAAAAGUGAUGAAUCAUUCACCGCUUUUAAAAACGGCGAAUGAUUUUUUUUCUCAUUUUUUUUUAUAUUUCUACGAUGGUAAAAGCGGUGAAUAGUUUACCGUUUUUAUUUUUUUUUCUACUUCUAAUGAAGAGUUAUGAAUGCGGUGAAUUAUUCACCGUAUUUAGAAGUCUAUUUUUAUAAUUAUUUUUUUAAAAAAAAUUAAUUUUAUAAUUAUAAAAAUCGAUAGAAUUAUUUAUAAAAAAAAUUUAAACAGAUAACAU